CUCAGCGACGGACCGGGC
rnacentral:siRNA from 1 species